GCCUUUGUGGUGUAGCGGUCAGCACGCUCGAUGCGUAACCGAGAGGUCAUGAAAAAUGUUGGUUCGAUUCCCGGCGAAGGCG
rnacentral:tRNA from 1 species